UGGGGAAUAUUGCACAAUGGGCGCAAGCCUGAUGCAGCAUGCCGCGUGGUUGANAGGCCUUCGGGUUGUAAAGCACUUUUGUCCGGAAAGAAAUGGCUCUGGUUAAUACCUGGGGUCGAUGACGGUACCGGAAGAAUAAGGACCGGCUAACUACGUGCCAGCAGCCGCGGUAAUACGUAGGGUCCAAGCGUUAAUCGGAAUUACUGGGCGUAAAGCGUGCGCAGGCGGUUGUGCAAGACCGAUGUGAAAUCCCCGAGCUUAACUUGGGAAUUGCAUUGGUGACUGCACGGCUAGAGUGUGUCAGAGGGGGGUAGAAUUCCACGUGUAGCAGUGAAAUGCGUAGAGAUGUGGAGGAAUACCGAUGGCGAAGGCAGCCCCCUGGGAUAACACUGACGCUCAUGCACGAAAGCGUGGGGAGCAAACAGGAUUAGAUACCCUGGUAGUCCACGCCCUAAACGAUGUCAACUAGUUGUUGGGGAUUCAUUUCCUUAGU
rnacentral:rRNA from 1 species